AACCAGCACCUCAAGUGGUCAGGAGGAUUAUUGGGCCUAAAGCAUCCGUAGCCUGUUCUAUAAGUUUGCGGUUAAAUCUAUACGCUCAACGUAUAGGCCGCCGUAAAUACUGUAGAACUAGGGAGUGGGAGAGGUAGACGGUACUCGAUAGGAAGGGGUAAAAUCCUUUGAUCUAUUGAUGACCACCAGUGGCGAAGGCGGCUUCCUGGACUAACACUGACGCUGAGGUGCGAAAGCGUGGGGAGCAAACAGG
rnacentral:rRNA from 1 species